rnacentral:rRNA from 1 species
UACGUAGGGCGCGAGCGUUGUCCGGAAUUAUUGGGCGUAAAGAGCUCGUAGGCGGCCUGUCGCGUCCGCUGUGAAAUCCCGGGGCUUAACCCCGGGCCUGCAGUGGAUACGGGCAGGCUGGAGGCAGGGCAGGGGAGAACGGAAUUCCCGGUGGUAGCGGUGAAAUGCGCAGAUAUCGGGAGGAACACCGGUGGCGAAGGCGGUUCUCUGGGCCUGUACUGACGCUGAGGAGCGAAAGCGUGGGGAGCGAACAGG